GCCUGGAUGGCUCAGUCAGUUGAGCAACUGAUUUUGGUUCAGGUCAUGAUCUCACGUUUCGUGGGUUCGAGCCCACGUCAGGUU
rnacentral:tRNA from 1 species